rnacentral:rRNA from 1 species
ACUCACGGCCUCCUGGGCCGUGGGGACGGGUCCCCCGUGUGGGGAUACCGCCGCAUGGGCCUUCGCCUCCCUUCGAUUAUAUCCCAUCUGUGAACACUUCCACUGUUGCUUCCGUGAGCCUGCUGCUGACUCCUUCUGGGGGUGAGCGCCUGAAAAGCCCUGGCUCUGCUAGGGGCGCACGGCAAUGCUACAAUCACCCUGGUUUUAUGUAUCUCCAGUCUGAGUGGUGAAACACAUCAAACAAGUUAAAACUUUCAACAACGGAUCUCUUGGUUCUCGCAUCGAUGAAGAACGCAGCGAAAUGCGAUAAGUAGUGUGAAUUGCAGAAUUCAGUGAAUCAUCGAAUCUUUGAACGCACAUUGCGCCUCCUGGUAUUCCGGGAGGCAUGCCUGUUCGAGCGUCAUGAACAACAUCCUCAAGCAUUCUUGCUUGGUUGUGGAGGAAGAGGGUCCUUGGACCGUCCCCUCUGGAAUUUCUCAGCAGAGACCGCAACAGCCUCAGGUGUGAUAACAUUACCUCGCUUGAGGGCUGCAGUGGGCUCCCGCUGCGUUGAUCCCCCCAGCAAUACUAUGUUUGACCUCGGAUCAGGUAGGGAUACCCGCUGAACUUAAGCAU